rnacentral:lncRNA from 1 species
AAACCUACACUGGAAGACAGUUCCUCUACUAACCAACCCUUUAAAUGCAUACAUUAAAAAAAAAUGCUAAGCCAUAGUUGAAUAGUGUAGAUGUAUCAAUCUAUGCAGCACCGACAUCUCAUAUUGAAGAUAGUCGAGUAUUUGACAUGUGUCGGCGGUGUGUCCAAUAUCUAUCAAAUGUUGGUAUGGAACAUUGAUAUGAUCACACCCGACAUAUAUAGUUAUAUUCAACAACGUCUAUAUUUUAAAUUAUUACCGGUGCUUAUGUGUUUAUGUCAGUAUUGUGUUCGUGUGCGUGUCAAUAUUUGGCACAACUAAGAUGGUUUAGUCCAUGUAAUAUGUGUUGAUUUAUAUUGUUUUAUUUUUUUUCUUCCUUUUUUUCAAAAGGAAUUGUUUCCAUAAUAUAUGUUAAAUCUCAAGGGUACUUAGUUUUGAAAUAGAACCUUUACAAUAUUGUUUAAGACUUUAAGUAUAUUCUUCUUGUACUUGAAACAAUAAUUGAAUGAGAAGUGUCUAUGCUUCAU